AUCUGUCCUGCAAUUGCGGAGAGAAUUACACAGUCUAUGUGUGUAACUUGUUGUUUCAACAACAUUGAAAUUUCGUUUACCUCACUUGCACAUUGCUGUACAGUUCCCACCAUCGGUAUUACAAGAGAAGUGUGAUGUGAUUUCAGAAAACGUUCCAUAUGUUUUACCACACCAAACUUGUGAAGCGUGACUCUGACCUUCGGGCUACUGCUCAGAGAAUCUAAAACUUUGGCACAGCCUAUUGCAACUGCCACCAAUUCCUUGUUAGUUUCGUUCAGCUCGUUGUACAUUGUUCGAAGAAUAGAAUCUGCUCUGUUUCGACUUUUCGCAUUCAAUGGAUAACGACCAGGUUUAAUCGCGUCAAUUGAGAUUUACAAAUGACAAGGUGAAUAUAUACAGAAAAUAUUAUCAAAUAAAAUAAUGCAUAGUUGAUACGCGGAAAGAAGAAUUUACGAGAUAUACCAUUACACAAUUAAUUAAAUCGAUGAAAAAGUAUGCGACGCGCGUAACCAAAAUUUAUGAGCAAAUAUUUUCUCACCAUUAAAUUGAAAGAAUGCAGAACUUCAUGGAAAACGUUGGAAGUAAA